UACGUAGGGUGCGAGCGUUAAUCGGAAUUACUGGGCGUAAAGGGUGCGCAGGCGGUCUCGUAAGCUGGGUGUGAAAGCCCCCGGGCUUAACCUGGGAAUGGCAUUCAGGACUGCGAGGCUUUGAGUGCGGCAGAGGGAGGUGGAAUUCCACGUGUAGCAGUGAAAUGCGUAGAGAUGUGGAGGAACACCGAUGGCGAAGGCAGCCUCCUGGGCCAGCACUGACGCUCAUGCACGAAGCGUGG
rnacentral:rRNA from 1 species